GCCUGUGUUAUGCUUUACAUGGCUGUAAGAAAAGAGUUUGUGUAUUCUACAUGGAUGGGAAAUUCAUCUCAUGGAAGUGCUCCAGUCAAUAAAGCCAUCAGGAUAAACCAAUUAGCACAUCAAGACCUAAUGAGCAACAUGACCAAACCAAUUAAGAAGUCAUUAAUUAGUAAGGAUUAGACUAAGAGGUGACAAAGUGUUUUUCACCUGCUUCUCACAAAGCCCCUUGCAAGUUAUCAUCCCUUUUCCUCAGGGAGACACUGAUGUGCUCCAGCAAACAACAUUCUGGGAUUUCAACAAAGUGUGGAGGGGAGCACUGAACCUUCGACUUUGGUGGAAGUUGGUGUAAUGUUACACCUGGGAUCUGAAGCAGAAAACUUCCCUGGAGGACAGCAUGUGUAUUGCAACCAGGCUGAAUUCUGUUGACAGCUGAGUAACACUGUUACCUGCCAGUAUGAUUACAGCAGUGUCCGCCUUCAUUUUCAAAUCCAAUUUGCAUUUAAUAAAAUGAAAGAUGAAAGCAACCUGGCUGAAAGUGCAUCAUCAGCACCAGCUUGCUGAAUAAUGGAUUUGAAAGACUGGAAAGAAGUCACCAAACUAGUUACAACGCUGGAGCAAAUCUAGGUCAGAGAAACUUCAGCAUGACUUAUUGCAAGCCCAUGACAUAAAUCAUCCAGGAGAGGCCAGAGAAGACCAGCUUUGGAGCUUAUUUAUUGUGGAAAAGAUUGGCAUUAAUGAGCUGGAGGAGCAGAACGCAUCCAUCUGGGCUCAAAACACCAGCAUGUCCUUCAAGGGAGCGGUGACUCUCCAGAAAACACUGCAGCCAGAGUGUCCAGAAAGACCCCAAGCUCCAAACCAUGGAGGGGUCUCCUGCUGGCUGCAGUGUCACCCCAAGACACCCUCUGUCCCUCCUGUGCAGCCCUGGGGAGCACACCUGGGCUGGAGGGGGCUGAGCCGCUGCCCUGGCUGGGUCAGCGAGCUGCGCUGAGGCUGGGUGCUGCAGCUGCUGCUGCUUUCACCUCGGCUUCUCUGGCUUCAGCUGGCUUCACCUAUCCUGUCCCGGCUCUGAUGGUGUUUCUGUGGUGGCUGUGAGGGUGCUGGGGCUACAGCUCACUGCCUGUGGCAGUGUUUACAGAUUGUGGUGAACCAAAAAUCAGCCCUUUGUGAAAAUCAGCGCUUUCUCGUUCUGUGGUUCUUCUUUUUGGGCACUGGCAGAAAAAAAAUGUUUCAGCUUUGGUUCAUGUGGGUUGAAUUAUUGCUGUUUGCUGCCUUUGAGCAGAGAGGAUUGAAAGUUCGUGGGCUUGGGACAAGCCUUGAUUAGGGACUUUUUUCCUCCCCUAAGAUAUAAAUAUUUAGUGCUCAGCUGGACAGGGACAUUUUCCAGUGCAGUUCUGUUUUCAGCAUGAUUUCCAUUUUAGCUUCCAUUUCUAAAUCGCAAAAUUUUGCACUAAUGAUUCUGGAUGCAAAACAAUGGAACUAGUAGGAUUGUGGGAGAUUGGAUAUCAUGACAAUGUACAUAUGUUAUUUUCUUUCCUUUAUUUGCUUUACUUGUAAGGCCUGUUAUCUAACUGUCAUUUUCCUGGCUGGAUUUCCUAUUUUAUGUUCUUGUCCCAGAGUAUUUAUUUCUCUUUUGUCUGCACCCAGUACUUGUAAGUGUCUUAAUUUUUUUUUCUUGACAUGCUCCUGUGAUGCUUUAUUUCAUAAAAAAGUACACCUGGCAGGGAAGCCUUGUUUAGCCCAUCAAUUCUCAAGAGUGUUUAUAGAAUAAAAAAAACUUCCUGAUGUUUCUGAAGGCGUAAAUGUGUUCAGCCACACCUAACAUUCACAAUUGCAAGUUAUUUUAGUGUUUUUUUUUCAGGAAAUGAUAAUUAUGCAACAGUCAUUUCUUUCAAGUUUUACUAUCACAUGUAUUGCAAGGCAUGGAGGAAACUUUGCUUUCAAAAAUUUAUAUAUCUUAAAAGGGCUAUGACUUUGUUUGGUUUUUAUUGCUGGCACAGUCUCUAUAAUGCUUGUCAUUUUAAUAAGAUUUUAAAAGUUAAGCUGUAUAAAAUAUGCUUCUGAAGCAAGAAAAGAGGACUUGAAUAUACCUAACCAGUGAAGAUGGGCAGAAAACCUGCAUAAAUCUUACUGGGGGAGCUGAUGAAACUGGAACCAGGAUGUCAAAACUUUCAAGGGCCUGACAGCUAUCAGCAGGACCUGAAGUGAGGGGAAGCUUUUGUUCAGUAGAGCUGAUGAACAGCUCACUGAUGUUAAUAGGACACUUUUCAAGUAGUUUGAAUUUUUGGACUUUGAAUCAGGUCUAACAUUCUCAUUGAAAGUGUGAUAUUGCAAUCCUUCUGUUGUCAUAAGAAUGACACCUUCUUCAGAGGAGAUUAUUUUCUUUUGGAAAGGGAGGGAGCCAUGAAGGAAAUAAUUGAUAGUCUUAAAUGCUGUACUUUGAAAAUUCAGGUUCUCUUUAUGAUCCUCAUAGAAUGAGAAAAAUUACUAGCAACUGCACAAUACUUACAGCAGACCUGAUAAUGGAGUAAUUAUUUUACAGAAGAGCACAUUCUUUAUUGCAAAGAUGAGCAUUUAAUUCUAUCUAUACACAGCUUUGCAAUAAAGGUAAUAAUUUCCACCAGAACAUGUAUGAUUAAAUGAGAAACUCAGUAUAGAGUUGUCAAUCUUGAAUGUUCUGCUAGCAAGGAAAGAACAAGGACACCUUGUCUGUGAUUAUUGUUAUUGGGGUGGGGGUGGACAGAAAGAUCUUACAAACAGCAUCUCAACUCACCUUAGGUGUAUCCUUUAGAUCCACAAAAGAGAAUGGGGGAUGAGGGGAAUAAAGAAGCUAAAAUGACUGCCUGCUUGCUGCUGAACAAACCAGUCCCUAGGAAAAACGAAGUAGAAGCAUAAGAUGGGAGAAAUGCAUGAUUUGUGCCUGUGGAGAAUAAUAUGGAAGUAGAGAGAAAAAAAUUAGUACAACUUAAAGUUUAGGAGAAUAACAUUAUCUAAAAUUACAGUGCCUUGAAGGCAAUAAAGACAUUUUAAUAUCUUUAUUUUCCCCAUUUUUAAUCUGUUGGAUAUUUUUAAUUAGUAAGAAUUGGAAAAGUGAAGUUCUAAUUAAUUUUUUUUUAAAUAUACAGGAAAUUAUAUUGUUCUUUCAAAUGAUACAUAUGUGUGGAUUAGUAACUUAAAAAUGAUUUUGUUUUUUGCUUAAACUGAUAAUUGCAUUAGUGGUUCAUAAUCUACUAAUGAGAAUGUAACUUUCAUGUAUUUUGGUUAAAAGACAUGCUCCAAAGCAGAAAAAAAGCAUUAGAGAUGUGCAGUACAAUUCUCAGUGUGCUUGCAAAAUACAUGAGUGGAACCCUGUGGAAGUGAAGGCAAAUUUUUAGGAACAAGCAUUUGAAGUUCACAAUUUAUAUCAAUGAUGUGUCUCUGGAGAGCUGUGGGGCACAGCAGCAGGAAUUGCUGUGCCUACUCAAACUACAGACCUGGGAACAUUUGGAAGGUGACCACUGCAGUGCUACAGGGUAAGCAGCAUUUGUGUGCCCAGCACUGCGCCCAUCACCCCGCUAGGGAAGGGAAAGGAAGCUCAUUUUCUCAUCCCUUAGAUUUUACAUUGUGUAGCACGAAUUCUGAUGAGCUUUUCCCUGUGUGUUGUGUAAGUAGUGGAACUAUCUGCAAGGUUUCUGUUUUUGAUGUCCUGUGCUACUGAAUUCCUUGAAUUCCACAGACUGCAUUUGCAUGAAUUUUUGGCUUCUAACUUUCCUGUUAUUUCUCACUCUGAAGUUUGGAAAGACAAAGGAGUGUGAUCUCUGUUUUCUGGGCCCUGUUGCAGCAAGAGUUAUUUUAUGGCAACACAGCACCUGCAGAGGGCAGGAACAAGAAUGUAUUUGUUGGUGAGCAUACAACUACAGCAAAACACCGUGAGCACUUUGAGUUUGCCUAUUUGUUGAUCUGUUGUUGUCCAUGUGCUGUCCUCUUUGCUGGGAGACAUGGGGCCUGAAUGGAUGGGGCUCUCCAUCCUCCUGAGGGUCUCUUGGCUUUUGAGAUGUUUGUACUUUGCUGCUAAUGCUUACCCAGCUACUUACUUGUGAGGUGCCAAUGAACAUGUGAAGGGACUCUGUUCUGUACAUAUUACGAAGAUGUUUCUUAGUAUCAGGUGGUUUUAUGUAAAGUUUUUUUGGACAACCUGAGAACAUUUGCUGUGGUGCCUAUUUUAUUAUAAAAUGACUGUACAGAUAAUAUUGAUCUCUAUUUAAAAGAACUCAAGCUAUGCAAUAACACUGGGCUGGACUGGACUGCAUGUAAAUUCAUCUCCCAGCUACCAAACUGGUGAACCCAGAUGCCAUCUGACAUUGGAUAUUUGAACAUCCCAGGGAGCAGAAGCUGAGUCCCAGGUCUCUUCUACUCAAAUCCAGGAGCUGAUGAAUGUAAAGCUGAGAUUUUCCCUGAGAAUCUGGAAGUGAAGCUGAAAUCACUUCAGUGAAAAGUGAGCCAGCAUGGUUGAGCAGUCAUUGGUGAUGUGAGCCUCCAUCCCUGGCCCACUCUCCCCAGCUGUGUUUCAGAAUGGGCAAUCCAUGUGCCAAAGCCUAGAAGGUGAUUUCAGCAUUUCCAGGUACCAAAAUAACAGCCUUCUCACACUGAUUCAGGAUGCACUAAUCACUGAAGAACUUGCAAAAGACAUAUGGGACUAUAAAUUCAUAAGCAUUUCUGACUCCAUCAAGUAGCUGCAGAGAAGCUUUUCAGGCAGUCAAAGGCAUUCAGCUGUCUCAGCAAGAGGGCACUAAUGAACAGGAGUUGGCCAGAAAGGAAAGCUGCCCCUUGGAAGUGGAAAUGGGAGCUGUGUCCCACCCAUGCCCUGUGCAGAGCAGAGCAAGGUCUGUGCCUGGGCUUUAGCAGAGACUGGUUUCCCCGGGUGGAGCCUGCACCCCAGCUCAGGCUGCAGUGCUGCUGGGGUGAUGGUGAGUGAAUUCCCUGCCCCAGGAGCAGAAUUUCUUCUCUUACUAAUGGCUCUUGGCUAUUACUAAACCCCUUAGUUUUAGUAGUUGAGCAUGAAACUUCAUUUUUCUUCUCCCCCUACUACCAUUGUCUUAUCUGAAGUGGUUGACUGGCAAAAGUUUCUCUUUUGUAAACAAGGGGAUUAAAGAGAGAGGUGUUGGAUUAAAGAUGACAGUCUGAUCCUAUGAAAGUCAAUGUCAAAUCUCCCAUAAGCCACGGUGAAAACAAUACCAGCAAGAAAAGAGCUCUCCAGGUGUAAGACUAGUGUGAUUUUAAGGGAAAGUGGAACACAAUAUUCUUCAUCUCCCCUCUUGCUGGAGGCUAUCUGUUUUGCAAUCUAGCACUUCUGAUGAGUUAAGAAAGCACAGCUUUUGUACAAUUUGUGAAUGCUUUAUUACAAAUAAAAACACAGGGCAAGAAUUCAUGUUACUGAUCUUAGUUUGAGGAUACAUGCAUGGAAAAAAGCUGUUGAAAAGAGCACUGGCUAUUUGCAUAUAUUCUCAAAUAAAUACAAUACAUAGAAGAAUUAAGGCUGGGGAGGAGAAAGAGGCAGGUAAUUGCCUUUUGCCUUUGUAGGUUAUCUCCAGGAGACAGGCUUGGGGCAGAGGCGAAUACCCUUGUCCCAGAGUAUGCAUCAGGCAUCUGGCUUGAACAAAUUCGAAAUGGCUUAUUCUGGAAGUGAUGUUAUGGCUGUACAUGGAGAAAAACUGGGCCUUUUCUGAAAGCUAGUGGCAAGCUGCAACUCGAGAGAAAGUAAAAGGAGAACCUCCUUACAUUACUCAUGCUUCUACUCUUGAAAGAAAAGCCCUGUGAAGUGUUAUGCUGUAAUUGUUCAACUAUUUAGUCUUCAAUCAUCUUUCUGAUAGAUCAGUUUUUAGUUAGAAAGAAAAGUAUUUUCUUUAAUGGCAGUUUCCUGCCAGGGUUUGGGUUCAGCUGUACCUCGCCCACUCUAAGGCUUCCCUUGGAAGAGUGUGUUGGCUGCUAUUGACUGCUAUGGAAAACAUACCAUGGUUCAGUGCACGGCUGAUUUGUGACACAGGGUGAAGAGAUAUUGUGCCAUUGCUUGGGGGUUUGAAGGUGCCUCCUAUUCCUGGUCCCCUGGGGUGGGAGGGAAUUACCUUUCUGCACAAUGAAAGCUAGCAGAUUGACUCUUCACUGGUUAAACACAAUCUGACUGUCCUGCUUGUAUUUUAUUUUAGCUUUAUGAUGCUAUUGAUCUUACAUAUCUUUCUAUAUAUUGCUUUUCAGAGUAUUUGGAAUGCUACUUGAUGUAUUAUUGUUCCCUGAAGUUUUUGAAGCCAUCAUUUUCAUAAAUAUACAAUAGGAGAUGGUAAAGGAAAAAGAAAGUUCCUAUUCACACUUUUAGUUAGUUCAUGAAGCAACAGCACAUCCAUUGAAAUUUAAAUGAAAAUGGGGACUGUGUCACACACUAUAGCUCUCUGGAAAGCUACAGUGGGAGUCUAGCAGUCCAAUUCAUUCCUUUGUAGAAUGUACUAAGGCUAAUGGUCUUGCUGGGAGUAAAAUAUAUUUUUUUUUGCAGAAUGGUUCCAGGAACAGACGUUGCUCUUUACCAGAAAACAUAAAAGAAAACAAAUGCUUACUGUGUCUUUAGUAUGCUAAAUAUGAAAUUCUUUGCACAAUGGAAUGUUAGCAGUAGCCAUAAUCAUGUUUUCCUUUCAUCACCUAGUGAACGUAAUUUUAAGAGCGGACUGCUGUAAUUAUAUCGCAGAUAAAAGGGAGCAGAAUUUCUGUAUAAUAUUAUAGUUGGCCUGAUUGUUUUGUUGAUAGGGAAAAAUAAAGAGAGACCACAUGAAUACUCAUUUAAUGAACAUAUUUAUUAAGCAGUGCAGACUGUACAUAAUGCAUUUGACUUUGCAGUAGACUUACUUUCUUCAAGCACCUUUCUUAAUAUUUUACUACAGCUAUUAUGUUCCCUUCUUAUCUGUCCAGCUAUUCAAUUAUUUGUGUAGUAUGUCUAUAGCACAAUGCCAAAACGUUUAGCUUAACUACAGCUGCCAGUGCAGGUACAAUCAA